ACAGGCAUAUCUUGGAGAUGUUGUAGGUCCAGUUCCAGACCACUGCACUAAAGCUAAUAUUGCAACAAUAAAAGCUCUUGGGUGACCAAGUGCAUUGUCAAUGAGAAAUAAUGCAGGGAUCUUUAAGAAGAAUCUUUUUUUUGAACAGUAGGUCUCAACAGUGGGCUCAAAAUCUUCAGUAAAGCAUGUGAUUUAUUUACAUGGCUACUAGAGACGCCAAGAUGAGUAAGAUGUGACACCUGCCCUCCAUGAAUGCUAAUAGAAGAAACAGACAUGUGAGUACAGAUGCUAUAAUAAAAACCAAGCGUAGGAGUUCUGUUGGAAUGCAGUAGAUGGUCUGACUAAUUCCGUGGGAGCAGAGGUAAGCUAUCACAGAGUGUUUGCGUCUCGAAGGAUGGAUCGAAUUUCUUCAGGCAGACGGGGAGAGGCAUUGCCAGUAGAGGAGACAGCAAGAGUGGAAGCAUCAAGGACUAGGAGAGAGUUUCUGGGCCUUUAGACAGGCUGCAAAGCUUGGGCUUGGAGUACUGUGUGGAGCCGGGCCGAUCUUAGUGGGUAAG